rnacentral:rRNA from 1 species
UACGGAGGGGGCUAGCGUUGUUCGGAAUUACUGGGCGUAAAGCGCACGUAGGCGGCUUUUUAAGUCAGGGGUGAAAUCCCGGGGCUCAACCCCGGAACUGCCCUUGAAACUGGAAAGCUAGAAUCUUGGAGAGGCGAGUGGAAUUCCGAGUGUAGAGGUGAAAUUCGUAGAUAUUCGGAAGAACACCAGUGGCGAAGGCGACUCGCUGGACAAGUAUUGACGCUGAGGUGCGAAAGCGUGGGGAGCAAACAGG